rnacentral:rRNA from 1 species
AUUGAACGCUGGCGGCAUGCCUUACACAUGCAAGUCGAACGGUAACAGGUCUUCGGAUGCUGACGAGUGGCGAGCGGGUGAGUAAUACAUCGGAACGUGCCCGAUCGUGGGGGAUAACGCAGCGAAAGCUGUGCUAAUACCGCAUACGAUCUACGGAUGAAAGCGGGGGAUCGCAAGACCUCGCGCGGACGGAGCGGCCGAUGGCAGAUUAGGUAGUUGGUGGGAUAAAAGCUUACCAAGCCGACGAUCUGUAGCUGGUCUGAGAGGACGACCAGCCACACUGGGACUGAGACACGGCCCAGACUCCUACGGGAGGCAGCAGUGGGGAAUUUUGGACAAUGGGCGCAAGCCUGAUCCAGCCAUGCCGCGUGCAGGAUGAAGGCCUUCGGGUUGUAAACUGCUUUUGUACGGAACGAAAAAGCUCUCUCUAAUACAGGGGGUGAAUGACGGUACCGGAAGAAUAAGCACCGGCUAACUACGUG